ensembl:processed_transcript Snhg3 small nucleolar RNA host gene 3
CUCUCUAGGCGUCGCUCUCUUGGUGUGCUUGUUCUUGACCCGGUCAAUGAUUUCAGGUACUUUGUUGAUGGAGGUACGUUCACCCUGAGGCUGGCUUAGUGCUUUCUGCUCCAUGUGAAAGAAGAGAAUCAGCGGGGGCACCUACUGAAUAGUUAUUAUAUACAGCGUGCUAAAAUUUUGUCUGUUACAGCCUCGGCCAUUAGAAGCUGGGGCAAGCUUUUCUGCCUACUUAACUCUGGUAAAUACAUUUCUUUUGAUAGGUUAUGUCUAGAUUUGAGAACCUUCACCAUGGUUCUCAUUUUUUGAGGUCCCAACAGGUUUCCCCCAGACCAUAUUAUAUAAACCAUAUAUGUCAUUUUUCUGUUCCCACAUUCUCUGUAAGAUUAUUGUCAUAAGUUAAAAUCUGAAUUAAAGCAUUUGAAUGUC